GAUGAACGCUGGCGGCGUGCUUAACACAUGCAAGUCGAACGGAAAGGCCCAAGCUUGCUUGGGUACUCGAGUGGCGAACGGGUGAGUAACACGUGGGUGAUCUGCCCUGCACUUCGGGAUAAGCCUGGGAAACUGGGUCUAAUACCGGAUAGGACCACAUUUUGGAUGGUGUGGUGGAAAGUUUUUCGGUGUGGGAUGAGCUCGCGGCCUAUCAGCUUGUUGGUGGGGUAAUGGCCUACCAAGGCGUCGACGGGUAGCCGGCCUGAGAGGGUGUACGGCCACAUUGGGACUGAGAUACGGACCAGACUCCUACGGGAGGCAGCAGUGGGGAAUAUUGCACAAUGGGCGCAAGCCUGAUGCAGCGACGCCGCGUGGGGGAUGACGGCCUUCGGGUUGUAAACUCCUUUCGCUAGGGACGAAGCGAAAGUGACGGUACCUGGAGAAGAAGCACCGGCUAACUACGUG
rnacentral:rRNA from 1 species